GACAGGGGUCUAGGCUCCCAGAGAAGGCUGGCGCGGAGGCUGUCUUGGGGAGAGCAUGCUUUCCUGUGGACUGAAUGUAUUCAGCGUUAGUGAGGCAUCUGGGAGAUGCUCUGGGCACAUUUUGCAUGCUGCAUGAGAGCUGUAGGUUUCUGUUCCAGAUGGACAGGGUGAGUUCACAGGCACAGUCAUUCCUGUUUCUGUUUACCAGCAUGUGUCUGGUGAUUUCCUAAGAGAAGAUACAAGCCUCUGUGCGGUCCCUUCCGUGUGAGCAAAAUGUGCACAGUCACAGCUCUGUGAAGGUUCUCUUCACCAAAGCGCCCCAGGGCAGCCUUUCCCUGAAGACAUCCAGUCAGAACCAACAUGAGGAACAAACUGUGGCUCAAGAGUAUUUCCUUCUUCCUCUUAUUCCAGUACACUACGUGUUGUGAAAACCUCACUUGUUUUGUGGACUAUGUACAGACGCUGUCCUGUGUCCUGAGGAAUGACUUGGGUGCCAGUUCAUAUAACCUCACUGCAACAUGGGUUUCUGAGGAAGUUCCAGAAAACACUGUGGCUGCCUGCAGUCUCCUGCAAUUGUCCAGGAACACCAGUCACACAGAGUACAUGUGCACUGUGGAUAUGACUGAACUCCUGGCAGAUAUCAAAGUCCAGGUGGAUGUUACAGAGAUAGCUAAUAAGCAGCAUGUGAUUUCCAAAGGCUUUUAUAUGUCUGAGAACAUCAAACCACAGCCUCCAUUCAAUCUGACUGCUGUGUUCUCAGAGGGUUACAAUAUUUCUUGGGAAACCAUCUACCAGAACUUUCCUUUCUACUUUUUGAAUGAGGAGCUGGAAUAUCAGCUGCGUUACAAGAGAGGGACUGACACCUGGGAGACUUGGAAGACUAAAGCUGUUCAUGAAGAUAAAAGGACACUGGUAAUUCUGCCACAGGAACUCCACGCAAACACUGAGUACGAGUUCCAAGUGAGAGCCAGACCCCGAGAAGGCACUAGUUACCAUGGAUUUUGGAGUGAAUGGAGUCAUCCGCUGACAUUGACAACUGGCCCUGCCGCAGUGACACAGAGAGCAGGCAUGGGAUGGCUGCUGCUGUUGGGUGGUGUCGUGGCAAUCACUGCCUCUAUCACAACCUUUCUGGCCAAACAACAGAGCUUGUGGAAGAAGAUGGCUUGCAUCCCAGACCCUGCUCCCUUUUUCAAGCCUCUUUACUUGGUGCAUAAUGGAGAUUUCAAGAAGUGGGUUGGUGCACCCCAUUCAAAAAUCACUUUUGAUUUCUUUGAAUGGGGGAUAGUCCUUCCAGAAGUCCUAGAAGUUUACACCAUGCGUAAUUCCAACAGCACCUCACGGGAGGAGCUGCGCGAGAUGAGAAAAGAUGUGCCUUGCAAGCCCUGUGUGUCGUGCCUGACUGCCCCAGGUCAGGAUGGCCAGUCCCUGCUGCCUAGUGGGACUCAGGACCAGUCAUACGGGCAUUUGUCCAUUGAUACUGUGACUGUGGCUGAUGAAUUCACGCCUUGUAAUUGCCAAUGCAACUGUAACCGUGUGUACAGGGGACAUGAGCACACCAGCAAGGAAGAUAGUAGUGCUGGAGAAACUGGUUACCCCAAGGUUAAUGUUGAUGAUGAAGACAGAAAGAUACCCAGUGACUUGCAUCUGGCUGACCUGAGCAUGCAAGACAAAAUACUUGCUUCAGGUUCUGUGUCUACAGACCACCUGCGGAGCACAAAUGUCCCAGCCCACCAGCAAGUAGAAAGGACUUUGGAAGGAAGGAUGGGGAGCAUCCUAGAAGCCCUUUGCUUGCAGCCUAAUCAGUGGGAUUUGGAAAAUCCAGGUUCUCUCCCUUCUCCCGAUGGUGAAAGUGUUUCCUACAGUGAAGGCUCCUGUGACUUCUUCCUUCACAUUGCAAGGCCUGGUGACAGUUACCCUGUGAUCUGCGUAGAUUUGGACACUAUUGACAGUGGCUUUGUGGACUCGGACUGUGGGAGUCCAGUUGACUGUGAAUUUGAGCAAAACAAUCAGACCAACUGUGGUUCCAUCCCUCUUGAGCAGGAGGGGGAGGACUUUCCACGGAGCUACGUCAAGCAGUGGGUCUCCUGUCGCUCUGACAGCCCUGUCAAUGGGACACAGACAAACUAAGGACUUGAUGUUGCCUUGCAGAGUGUUCGGCUUUUUCCGUACUGUGCCAGGAGCAAAGUCUUAGAAAAAUUCAGAAGAGAAGCAAAGUUUACUGCAUGUGGAGUCUGCAAAUGAAAAGUCUUCAAAACAUGUAAUUCCAGACAAACUCUUGCUACUGUGCUCUUCUGCUGCAGCAGCAUCUCUCCCAGCAUUUUCCAAGCACAUUAACUGAAAUGUUGAGCAGCUUUUAGAACUAUGCAGAAAUUUCAGAAGUAUUGUCCUACCUGGAUGUGCCUGCAGCUCCAUCUUCUGCUUUGGACCUGGUCUGCUGAAGUCCACAGGUCAGUAGCCCAGAUUUUGAGCAAUCUCUGCUAGCUAAUAAAGCCAACCAUGAAACUGCUAUUUGCACUGUAACUGUAAAUGUAUUUCUGCCUGACAUCUCUGUAUCUCUGUUUUGUCUAAGAUAAUUGUCUUUAGAAGUUACUGUAA